AGCAAAGAAACCCUGCUACUGGAAUUAAUCUGCAAAGCUUUGACCUCUGUCAGCUGUUGGCUUUUGACUCCCACUCCUCUGUCUUGCCCUCUCCAAGGCAACGUUAGACUGGAGAACACNGGGGCACAAACCUCCAGUAGUGCCCCCCCAUCCCGAUAAAAGCCUGGGCCUGUUUCUUAUCAUGCAUGGGGUAUAUGUGGGUAUUACACCAAUUAGUCCAGCCGUGCUGCUCAGUGCAGAGGUGGACAGCCAAGCUGUGUCUAUAGACCUGGUGCCCCCCAGGGCCAGCUCUAGCCAUUUCGCCGCCCCAAGCAUGGCGGCAUGCCGCAGGGGGCGCUCUGCCGCUCGCCAGUCCCGCGGCUCCGGUGGACCUCCCGCAGGCGUCCCGCUGGGUCCUGGAGCCGGCCCUGGUGCCCACCGUCCAGAGUAAAGUGGACAUGUCCAUGGAUUGGCUGCAGCAGGAUCUCAGGUGGCUCUCCGACUGGUGGGACCGGGAGCAGGGCACUGAGCAGAUCAAACCCACCUGGAAUAUCAUGGAGAUUUACAGAACUGGGACUGAUCUGAUGGCCAAGAAUCUGUAUUGGAGGCUCACUUACUCUCUGGCUGAGACCCGACUCCUCAGGGACAUUGACCUCGAUGGUGCUGGCGGGAGGCGCUGCAGCUGCUGAAGCAAAUCAACAUGGAGAAGUGGAGGCCGCGGUAUGGCAAAGUCCUGACCUCCUACCACCUGAAGAUGGUCCUGUUUUGGGCUUCUGACCUCAACCCACAGACAAAGCACUGGGCCACGUUGCCGGAUGCUCUGGGGACCCUGCUGAAGGUGUUGGAGUUCUGUCUGGAGAAGAGACACCUGCCCAGCUACUUCCUGCGUUCGAUUAAUUUCUUCGACUGGCACCGCAGUGAGGAAGAAUUCCCUGAAGAACCUGGUGCUGAAAGUGGUCAGAUUGGAGGUGAGGCUGAUGAGAUGCAGCCCAGAGUAGUACCUCCAGCUGAGCUAUGACCUGGCCAAACCCCAAGGCCUGGGACCCUUCAUCCAACAGGCGCAGGAGCUCGACGAGUUUAGAAGGGAGCAUCAGAAAGACUUUGAAGAGUUCAAUACCCUGAAGGAAGAAAAACAGCCGGUACAGGGAGCUGCAAGUAUCUUCUUCACCCAACACAGACACUUGGGCUCGUGUCUGCAGUUAAAUAUUCUACACCAGGGGUUCUCAAACUGGGGGUCGGGACCCCUCAAGAGGCCGUGAGGUUAUGACAUGG
rnacentral:lncRNA from 1 species